GAUGAAGAACGUAGCGAAAUGCGAUACGUAAUGUGAAUUGCAGAAUUCAGUGAAUCAUCGAGUCUUUGAACGCACAUUGCGCCCCCUGGUAUUCCGGGGGGCAUGCCUGUCCGAGCGUCAUUGCUGCCCUCAAGCACGGCUUGUGUGUUGGGCCUCCGUCCUCCUCCCGGGGGACGGGCCCGAAAGGCACCGGCGGCACCGCGUCCGGUCCUCGAGCGUAUGGGGCUUCGUCACCCGCUCUUGUAGGCCCGGCCGGCGCUUGCCGACACAUCAAUCUUUUUUCCAGGUUGACCUCGGAUCAGGUAGGGAUACCCGCUGAACUUAAGCAUAUCAAUAAGCGGAGGA
rnacentral:misc_RNA from 1 species